rnacentral:misc_RNA from 1 species
UCAAACUUGGUCAUUUAGAGGAAGUAAAAGUCGUAACAAGGUCUCCGUAGGUGAACCUGCGGAGGGAUCAUUACAGGGCUCGUGCCCCCCGUGGGCCGACCUCCCACCCACUGCCAUCGCUACGACCGUUGCCUUGGCGGGCGCCCCGCGGCGCCCGCCAGCGGCCCCCCAACUCUGGAUGUCCGCGUCGUCCGAGCGUCAUGAUAAUCGUUAAAACUUUCAACAACGGAUCUCUUGGUUCUGGCAUCGAUGAAGAACGCAGC